rnacentral:snRNA from 1 species
UUGCUUUGGCAGCAUGUAUACUAAAAUUGAAAUGAUGCAGAGAAGAUUAGCGUGGCCCCUGCACAAGAAUGACAUGCAAAUUUGUGAAGCAUUCCAUAUUUUU